AAUCAACGCUGGCGGCGUGCCUAACACAUGCAAGUCGAACGCGACUUGGGCUUCGGCUCAAGUUGAGUGGCGAACGGGUGAGUAACACGUGGGUGACCUACCUUCGAGUGGGGGAUAACGUCCCGAAAGGGACGCUAAUACCGCAUAACAUCCUGCCUUUGAACAGGUGGAGAUCAAAGCCGGGGAUCGCAAGACCUGGCGCUUGAUGAGGGGCCCGCGCCUGAUUAGCUAGUUGGUGGGGUAAUGGCUCACCAAGGCGACGAUCAGUAUCCGGCCUGAGAGGGCGGACGGACGCACUGGGACUGAGACACGGCCCAGACUCCUACGGGAGGCAGCAGUGGGGAAUUGUUCGCAAUGGGCGCAAGCCUGACGACGCAACGCCGCGUGGAGGAUGAAGGUCUUCGGAUUGUAAACUCCUGUUGCUCGGGGACGAAAAGCCUCGACCUAACACGUCGAGGUCUGACGGUACCGAGUGAGGAAGCCCCGGCCUAACUCUGUGCCAGCA
rnacentral:rRNA from 1 species